rnacentral:lncRNA from 12 species
CCAACAGCCCACGACCUCGUGUUCGGGGUUUGACUUAGUCAGCAAGACGUCAAGGAAGAAAAAUUAACCUUUUGUUCCAAGGUUUAAAGCUGACCGUCUGAAGGAGAAUCAGCCCUUCCUGAGGCAGGGACGCGCUGGGGUCUGGAGCUGCUCUGCGUUCAAACAACGUGGCUGGGAUGGUGACUCCAGCAUUGCCCUGGGCAGGUGUUGCAAAAUACCAGAAGUAUCAAACUACAUACAUGAAACUGCAAAUAUCAAAGUGACAGAAGGGGAAUGGAC